rnacentral:rRNA from 1 species
GACGAACGCUGGCGGCGCGCCUAACACAUGCAAGUCGAACGAGCGAGAGAGAGCUUGCUUUCUCGAGCGAGUGGCGAACGGGUGAGUAACGCGUGAGGAACCUGCCUCAAAGAGGGGGAUAGCAGUUGGAAACGACUGCUAAUACCGCAUAAGCCCACGGUGCCGCAUGGCACAGAGGGAAAAGGAGUGAUCCGCUUUGAGAUGGCCUCGCGUCCGAUUAGCUAGUUGGUGAGGUAAUGGCCCACCAAGGCGACGAUCGGUAGGGGUUCUGAGAGGAAGGUCCCCCACAUUGGAACUGAGACACGGUCCAAACUCCUACGGGAGGCAGCAGUGGGGAAUAUUGGGCAAUGGGCGAAAGCCUGACCCAGCAACGCCGCGUGAAGGAAGAAGGCCUUCGGGUUGUAAACUUCUUUUAAGAGGGACGAAGAAGUGACGGUACCUCUUGAAUAAGCCACGGCUAACUACGUG